rnacentral:rRNA from 1 species
UUGACCUCGAAUCAGGUAGGGAUGCCCGCUGAACUUAAGCAUAUCAAUAAGCGGAGGA